rnacentral:misc_RNA from 1 species
AAGACUAUAGACCUGCGGAGUACCUGCGGAAGGAUCAUUACCGAGUGAGGACCUAACCGGUCCAACCUCCCACCCGUGUCUAUCGUACCUUGUUGCAUCGGCGGGCCCGCCAUUCGUGGCCGCCGGGGGGCAUCUCGCCCCCGGGCCCGCGCCCGCCGGAGACACCAACACGAACACUGUCUGAAGGUUGCAGUCUGAGUCGAUUUAUUUAAUCGUUAAAACUUUUAACAACGGAUCUCU